GAUGAACGCUGGCGGCGUGCCUAAUACAUGCAAGUCGAGCGAACGGACGAGAAGCUUGCUUCUCUGAUGUUAGCGGCGGACGGGUGAGUAACACGUGGAUAACCUACCUAUAAAACUGGGAUAACUUCGGGAAACCGGAGCUAAUACCGGAUAAUAUUUUGAACCGCAUGGUUCAAAAGUGAAAGACGGUCUUGCUGUCACUUUUAGAUGGAUCCGCGCUGCAUUAGCUAGUUGGUAAGGUAACGGCUUACCAAGGCAACGAUGCAUAGCCGACCUGAGAGGGUGAUCGGCCACACUGGAACUGAGACACGGUCCAGACUCCUACGGGAGGCAGCAGUAGGGAAUCUUCCGCAAUGGGCGAAAGCCUGACGGAGCAACGCCGCGUGAGUGAUGAAGGUCUUCGGAUCGUAAAACUCUGUUAUUAGGGAAGAACAUAUGUGUAAGUAACUGUGCACAUCUUGACGGUACCUAAUCAGAAAGCCACGGCUAACUACGUG
rnacentral:rRNA from 1 species